rnacentral:misc_RNA from 1 species
CAUGUAAAAAAUAAAUAAAACUCGAAUAUUCAAGAAUGUUUAAGCUAUGAAAUUCAUUUGUUGCACAACCAACAUUAACAAUAGCCAUGACCACAACAACAACAAAAACAGUAGCAUAAUUUCUCUUCCAAUGUACCCAAAAAAAAAUAAAACCAUUAUUGUGAUGGACUCAAACCUUGACUUGCAAACCAUAUCCCCUUCUCUUAAAAAUGAGAAGAGUUUUAAAACUGGAGCUGCUGCCCAUUGAAUUUAUUUUGUAAGCCUUGAGUGGACCACCUUAAAGCUAUAAACAUGGCCGUAUUUAUCAAAUUAGUUAUACGGACUAUACUUAUGUGUAGUAAAG